GUUCCCUGGAGAAGCGGGUGUGCAGCCCCGGGGAGCCCUGCCCCUGCCCCGCCGGCCGCCCUGACCCCGAGUUUCAGGGUCCAGCUAAGAAUAUUUUACUAUUUGGAGGCAAUGUUCUUAAGAGCACAAGGAGUGUUAUCAAUGAUGGAUCAUAUGUUAGACCACAAAAUUGAAGAAAAAUGAAAUCCUAUCAAGUCUCUUUACCCACAAUGAUGGUAUCUGACACUAGAAAUCAGCUAUCAGCAGAAAACCGGAAGAUUCACACACACAUGGAGAUUGAACACCAUGCUCGUGACCGUGGACCAGAGAAAAAAUCAGAAGAGAAUUAAAAAAAAAAUAAUUUAGGACAAACGAAAUAGAAACACAAAGUAUUAAAAGAUAUUUUUGAUGCUGCAAAAGACUUUCCAAGAGGCACACUUACAGUGAAUUAAAAUCAACACCAAGGAGCUGGAGCAACAGCACAGCAGAUGUUCUCCUAGGAGCAAAGAAGGUCUGCACACAAUGACAGACAAAGAAACAUCCAUUGCAGACAGCCCGACUAUUUGCCAACAGGCAAGAGAAACAUGGUGGUGCCAAGGAUGGCAACAAAAAAGGAAGGCACCACCGACACACGCCCAACAUGCAUGAGGCUCAGGACAAUCGCUCCCUGCUGCAGCUCCCAGACCCAAAACAGCGCCUGCCUCAUGAUCACAUGUAUGUUAGUCAGAACGUAGCCACUAAUCUGCAGUGAUGGGUGUAUCUGAUGGACGGCAGAUCAGCCCUAACUUGGGUGGGGGAUAGAGGAAAAUGGGAGCCUGCGGGAGGGGGUUACAAGGACACCGUAGGAGGGAGAUUUUGACCAUCUCCCUGGUGCCUCAUGGUCACACAUGGCGUGCACAUAUCAAAACUUAUC